CGCGGGCCCCACGGCGGCGGGGAGAGGGCCGGGGCGCCGCCGCCGCCCUCAGCGGCCGGGACCGCAGGCCAGGCCCGGGCGCCUCCAGCCGCCGCCCGGCCGCGCGUUCCCGGAAAGGCGGGCGGGGCGCGCCAGGCAUGCUGGAUCAAGGAGACAUGAUCUUAAAAGCUCAGGAGUGUAUGACUACACAGAGAUGGGUAGCAGCUGGUGAUGCACAGGAUGCUCCAGGGACUUCGGGGGGACCCUCAUCAUUGCUUCAUCAGCUCCAAAUGAUGUCACUUAGAGUAAAAAAAGAAUGUAAAAGGCAUUUGUAUUCAAAAUGAGAAUUUCAAAACUUGUGCUGGCCAAAUGAAAUACAUGCUUCCAGCUCCUGGUUUGGAGGGUCCAUAGCAGCAUAAGAGGCAAGAAGGGAUCAUGGGUAAAAUCCUGCAAGCUUUAAUGAAUACACUGUAUGCCUGAUUCUUGGUGACCACGCUUCUUCCAAGAUAAGGUUAUGCUCUAUGCCUUUGGUUAUGUGCUACUUCUUUUGCACCUCUCCGUGGGCAGCCUGAAUCUCUCUUUAAUGGCCCUCCAAGUCUUCCUAAAAUAGACUACUGCUGCCAAUUAAUUUUCUCUGUGUUCUCCUAACACCACAUCAUGAAUAGACUGUACUCUGGAAAGUAGCUUUUUGUGUGUUUUCUUUUAAACCCCAAUGUCUGGUUCAUCCCAAACCUUUUCUCUCCAUGUGUUCCCUGACGUUCAGACCCCUCGUUCUAAUUAGCAGUGACAGAUGACUCACCCAUCUUGCUGGCUCCCUAGAGGAAGAAAAGAAACGCUUGCUUCUUUUAUUGAUCUCAAGCCCUUCAAGAGUCACCUCAUGCUCCUGGAAGCUUCCGUUAGAGAGAGGAAAGUUCAAUCUGAAAACCCCAGUGCAGACAGAAGCUUGGCUUGGGCAGUGGUCCAGCCUCCCUCGCAUCCAACAGCAGGGACAGAUGGGCCUCCCACUGCUCCAUGAUGGUGGGUUUUCAGGAACCCUGGCCAUCAAGAAGAGUGAAAUGUCACAGAUUCAACAAGGGCAGGGACUGGCUGUCCAAAGCUGGCAGGGUCAUCAGCUCAGCAAGGGAUCAGGCAACCUGAACUGAAGGAGGCCCAUCGGGGUCAGAAGUGACCAUGUGGAAAGUGGAAGUCAGUAACGAGGGUUAAGGUGAGGCACCUAAAAGACCAAAGAAGGAGAGUUCUGGAUGGUAGAAUGUUUGAGGGGGUCUGAGGCCUCUCCGUCAAUCUCUCCAAAAUUGCUAACCAGAUAGAACCUUCCAAGCUUUAAAGGUCCCCUGGUCAGUUAAUGGGAUAAAGAAUCAUCUCUGCAUCAUACAAGCAAACUAAGUCAGAAAGAGAACAAAUACCUCAUGAUAUCACUAACUUGCGGAAUCUAAAAUACAGCACAAAUCAACACAUGUGGUGAAACAGAAACAGACUCCCAGACAUAGGGAACAAACUUGUGGUUGCCAAGGGGGAGGAAGGUUGGGGAGGGAUGGAUUGGGAGUCUGGGAUUAGCAGAUGCCAACUAGUAUAUAUUGGAUGGAUAAACAAAGUCCUGCUGUUACAGCACAAGGCACUAUGUCCAACAUCCUGUGAUAAACCAGAAUGGAAAAGAAUAUGAGAAAGAAUGUAUGUGUAUGUAUAACAAUCACUCUGCUGUACAGCAGAAAUUAACACAAUGUUGUAGAUCAACUAUAUUUCAAUAAAAUUGAAAAAACCCACAAAAAAAUGAUCUAUACAGUUCAGAAGCUUUCCAAAUCUGUACCUAAAGGCAGGAGUUCUUUUCCUGGCAUCAACAAAAGAUAGAUUGACGUUACGGAGACUCUUGAUGACGUCGAGACCCUGGCAUUCAGUGAAAUUUAGGCUGUGUGGUUGAAAUCCUAUCCAGAACAUGAAGGUAAUUUUCAGUGAUGUGUAACAUCAUACAGUAUCCUACCAGGUACUUUACAGAGUUGUUUAGUAGCCACAUUUCAUCAAAAAUUGCUUAAUUAGCAGAUGGCAUUGAAAAAUGAAUAUGUUCUGCCAAUGAUGUACUUUUUCUAUUUGGAAGGUUUGUAACGUUUCUUUGUUUCAUUUAUGAAAACCAUAAAAACUAAGUUCUGGGGGGAAAAAAAAAAACACAACAACUAACUAAAGUUAGAACCAGACCUGAAAAAAAUCUCUGUGUAACUAGAGUAUUAAAUCAAGAUUUGCUCACAUAAUGAGGCCUAUCAAAUCUCAUUUUAAAUGGGAACUUUAUUCAAUAAGUAAAAUAAAUAUUUUGAAAUAUUA